UACGUAGGGGGCAAGCGUUGUCCGGAUUUAUUGGGCGUAAAGAGCGUGUAGGCGGCUAGAUAGGUCCGUUGUGAAAACUCGAGGCUUAACCUCGAGAUGUCAUCGGAAACCAUUUGGCUAGAGUCCGGAAGAGGAGAGUGGAAUUCCUGGUGUAGCGGUGAAAUGCGCAGAUAUCAGGAAGAACACCAAUGGCGAAAGCAGCUCUCUGGGACGGUACUGACGCUGAGACGCGAAAGCGUGGGGAGCGAACAGG
rnacentral:rRNA from 1 species